ACACCUCAACUCUUUAUGGUUUUCCAUGAUGAGCUUGGACUUUGGGGGGUUUUGCUGGCAUAUGGUCAGCUCCUCUAAAAUAAAUCAGCUUGCCGGUGUUUGGUGGGCAUCACAGGUGUGAUAACCAUCUACGCUUGUGGUUUUUCCACCAGGUAACCUUCAGCAAUGGAGGUUCACCGGAGCUCACAGAUGUCUCUCCUCAGUGAGGACAGCCCUUUGAAU
rnacentral:misc_RNA from 1 species